rnacentral:lncRNA from 1 species
AUUUUGUGUACAUCAUGGAGACAUACAAAAAAUGCCUUCGAAUACUAUAAUGAAGUGUAAGAAUGUUUGUAUUCGGAGUAUUAUAUUUGAAAUUAUUGGUAAUUGUGUAUAUAGAAAAAAAAUGUAAACUGAUUUCUGAAUGUGUUCAAACAUAUCAUAAUGUGGCGUCAACAAUUAACUUCCCAAUAUAAGCAGACAUACGACGCUACGUAUGGUAAGAACAAACUUAAUCUUAAACGAAUAAUUCUUGAAUUGUCUUUGUGGUAAAAGUUAAAUGUUUAUGAUUUGAUAUCUACCUUAGAAUUAAGAUUUAUGUGUAUGGAUACAACAUAUAAACAAUAAACUAUAAAGUUUUACCUGUGUAGUGUAAUAUUGUGUUUGCAUUAUAUUAUAUUUUACUCAAAUAUAGAUACCAUAUUUAAAAUUGUGUUCACCAGAGUCAAUAUAUAUGUAUCAGUUGUUAUUUGUCUUUGUUGUGUACAUAUGUGUGAUGUUCAAUUCUUAUUGCUAUGAGUUCUGCUAUACAAUUUAUCAAAUCUUUUUCGCCGGUGUGUAUGUACAAAAACGUGAUUCCAUUAGGAACAAAAGGGGCUUAAAUUAAUGAUAGUUCCAUCGUCUUGAGAUACACACAACAUUUUUUUGAGAUAGGAGAUAGACACCAGAGGAACAGUCAAACUCAUAAGUCGAACAGACAACGCCAUGGUUUCCGGAUAACGUUCAAACGUAAAGAGCAUUCGUUGAAAUACAAAUGUAUAUGUUACAGUAAAUGGUUGAAAUUAGGACUUACAUGAAAUUACUAGACAAUUUAGUAAAUAUCUGUAAUCACUUAUAUUUUAUAGGUACAUGAUGUAGUCACAGAUUAUUCUGCGUUUUUACAGCUAUUUCCUAACUUUACAUUUUUGUUUCAAUAUUUUUGACAGAUUUUAAGAAACCUUAUGAAAAAUACAGGGGUACGGAUUGUAGCGCUGACUUAAAGGAAAAAAGGUAUCUUAGGUUCAAAGGGGGGAAGUACUUUAUCCGCUACUUAUUUCAUUGUAUGUGAAUAGUCUUGAAAUUUAGUUUCUAAGUGGUGGUUCUUUCCGGAGUACAUGGGUUGUCUUUUUUUCCCUUAUGUAUGCCGAUGAUAUGGUUGGUUUCUGAUUCUGUUAAAGGUACAAAACAAGUGUGUUAGAUACAUAGUUACUGUACUCUAAUAAAUUACUAAAGUUAUGUCAUUAAGAAAAAAGAUUGUUAUGUGAAGUUAAAAAGAAACAUGAUAGUUAUUUGAUGGUUAUGUUAAUGACAUUGUUGAUGAUUUUGUUUUACGUAGGUUCACAGUUGACUUAUAACAGUAAUGUUUUUGGGAACUAAGAAACAUUUAGCAGAACAAUGUACAAAGUGGUAUUUGCCUUGAAAUGAAAAGCAGCAUUCUUAUGUUUGAAUGUUUUCAGAGUACUCGACUUUGUUUUAUAUACAUCUUAGUGGUAUUUUAUGUUAUGGUAGUAAGACAUGGGGAUUUCAUAAAGCUCCAAAUAUUGCAAAAGUUCAGUUAAUAUUUUCACAAAUAUAUUUAGUAACAAUCAACGUACCACAUAUGUAUUGUUGUAUUAGCUUGGUACAAAUCCUGUGACAUAUUUAAGAUUCUAUACUUAACUUUUAUCAACAAAUAACUGUUUACUUCUAUUGACGAAUAAAAGAAGGUUCUUAAGGUAGAUGGGGUGUCUAAAUUAUAAUCCAUAGAAUUUUUUAAUAAUUGCCAAAAAAGUUUAUAUUAUGUUUUUAAAAAGUAUAAAAAAAAUGGUCCGGCUUUUUUCAUGCUACACGGUGUUCAAAAUUUGUUCAAAUUUUGUAUAGAUUAUUGCAUUUGGAAACCUCCAAUUUUCUGCAAUAAAGCGUAAACUACACCAUAGAAUUUGCAGACUAACAUAUGAGAAGAUAGCUUUAAUAGGUAUGCUUUCAGUUUAGAAAAAGAAAAAAUGAGUCACCGGACCUGUUUUAUUGUUACAUAAUAAAAAGAGAAAUUCCUAACCACAUUCUAUUGUAAAAAACCUUAAUCUGAAUUAUCUGCCCUUGCAUUUGAGUUGCCCCCCUUAUGUAGGCAAAGUGGAAAAAAAAUUGUUCAAACAAAAAAUUUCUGUUUUUUGGUAAAUACAAUCAAAAAUAUGAGUAAAAAACAUGCAUUUCUAUGUAGAAGUGGAAUUUCUUACACAUGAAUUAUCUACUUCUCUAAAAAUUUGCACAUUCUAUUAAAUAUCUAGACCUUGUUUUCUGGUAUUUCCAAAUCCAAGAUGGAGGAAGACACCCUAUCUACCUUAAUAUUAUUAUAAAGCCUUUGUCAAUUUCAUCGGCCAUUAGUGUCAAUGCCAAAUGUCAGUCUUUGAAGAAUUAAAAUAACAUAUAAAUCAAGACUGAAGAACACGAACCAAGCAACAGUAUGUUGUUGACCGCUUGUGCUUCGGAAGGGUUAGCAGGUCACGUUCUACUUGUAGCACCUACUGUUAUGUACCACUAAUGCCUACAGAAGCACGUCAGGAAUUUGACAGUUAAUGUCCAUUCAUUUGAUGUGUUUUGGCUUUUGAAUUUAACACAUGAUAAAGACAUUUUCGUUUUAUUUUCUAUGUAGUUUGUUAUUCUUCUUUUUUGAUACAUGUAAACCACAAACUGAAAAAAGCCAAAGGUCAACAUAUUGCAGAUAACUCUUUAAUAUCUUACCCAAAUUUAGCCAAAUUUUGAAGACUACAUAAAAGUUAUACUGUACUGUAAUGAAAAUGGGAUACUGUUUUAUUCAAGGGUUUUUGUUAAACCAUUUGCUAAUCUUUUACGAUAAAGGUAUCGGUCUUUUGUAUACAAACCGUUAAACCACCUAACUACAAUACUUAAUAUAAAUUAUUUUGUAUAUAAUAUUCAAAAUGUACGUAUGUUUGCAAAUCUUCAUCGGACUAAGAAUAAUGUGACUUACUAAUUGACGGAUGGCUUUAACUCGUCAACAUUAUUUCCGUAUUAAAGUAUUACGAAUUCGAAUUUGUCAAUUGUUAAAUAUUACACGAAACUUUAGCUCAAAAACACGUAUCCACAUAACAUCAUUAUGAUACUUACAUGACGAUUGUAUAUUAAAGAUACAUGUAUCUACUUGCUGUAAAACAUCAUCAAUUAAAAUACCAUAUAGCUUGAUGCCCUUUAUCAACAGAAAAAUAAAUCCCCCAUAAACACUUAAUCAACUCUAUAUUUUUGUAUUUCGUGGAAGGACACGCUUGAUUUUUGCAACAACAUAGACUAAUCACCUACGAUUUACUGACACCAAAUUAAGAAAUGUUUGAUAUGCAUUAAAUAAAUCCAAUUGAAAUUCUGUCUUUAAUGGAUUUUAAUAAGUUAUUCAGAAGGAUCUUUUUAUUUUUUCGAACCUUUAUGAAUAUAUCAAUGAAUAUGCUUAAAUUCAAAUUGAAAAAUGAGUGGACGAAAAUAAAAAAAAUUACUAAUUAGAAACUAUUCCUCAAGUUUUAACCUCUGUAGUAAAAUGUUAUACUAAGCUUUUUCGGUUGCUCAUCAGUGAUGCUAGAAUCAAAAGCAAUACAAGUUUUCAAAAACAAGUGAGAAAAAAUUUUCCUGGUUCGGAAAUUAUUAGUUUUUUGAAAAAUUCAAAGUUUUGAAAAACCGUAAAACGAGGAAUAACGGAUCAGUAUGAUGGUGUUUCUUAUUGGCAGCAUAUGUGUGCAUCAAACUGUGCGCCUCUCCUGUCUGACGUUCAUAUAUGCAUGCUGACAAGCUAUAGAACAUAAUAAACCGAUAAACCCGAUAAUUCACAAGUUGUAUUUGUAAUGAAAAUUCAUAUUUUCUUCACAAACAAAUAAUUUUUCUCUGGUUACCAAGUUGUAUUGCAAUCAUUUGAAAUACGGUUGUAGAACAAAAAUUGCCCUUGAUGACACUUUGUCCAUCUGAUUUGAUAUCUUUUAUGAAAGAAUAUAAUUGUAAUAUAUUGAAAAAUAAAUGGAGUGAAAAAGGAUGAUAAUAAAUUAUAUGAAAUUAAAUGUGUAUUAAGUUAAAUUAGCCAUUAGCCAUAAACUAACCAUUUAAUUAGUUCAUGAUCAGACACGGUCUGUGUUAUUUCUAGAUGCAGUAUUGGUCAUACUUGCAUAACACCUGAAUAUCGUCUACAAAAUGAAGAUGGAUCACAAUGUAUACUUUGCAAAUGAACUUAUACUAUUUUAAAAAAAACAACAAGUUUAAAUCAAUUUCAUUGACUUUGCUGAUAUUCUUAGGAAGCAUUUCAAUGUCAAUAAUAUGUAUGUUCAAUUUAAUAUAAACUUUUUGUAUCAAGAAUAAAUGAUUUUGAUGUUGAUCACGUUAUCUUAGUUUUCAUUUUUAUUUGUAAAUAAGCAAUUUUGCAUUCGACUUGAGUUUAAGUAUCCUGAACGAUAUAUCGUCUGGAUUAAAAAAAGAAUACUUAGAAAUGUAAAAAUAAUUGAAUAAGCUCUCGCCGCGAUGUAGCCUGUUUUCACUGUUGUGGCGUAAGGAAACACCAAUUAAUCAAUCAAUCUCUGACCUCUUUUUAUAUUCAUAUAAGUCGAUGUUAUUUUAGAUACUGGCACAACAAAAAGUCAUAGCAGCCACAUCACUUAAUUUCACAUUUCAGAUAUAUUGACGAUGUUUUUUUCCAUUGGCAAUCGAAACUUUUCUAGUUGGUUUCGUUAAAUAUAUAGAAACAAAGAAACAUCACACACAGCUUUAUAAUUCUAACUUUAAGAUUUAUAUCUCAGAAUUGUCAUACGCGGUCAUCUAAGUACCAUCAUUUAUGAAAAAACAUUACAGUUAAACCUUUACUGUUUGAAAAAGAAGAUGUGGUUUGAGUGCUUAUGCAACAAUUCUACACAGUAGAAUGUAUGAUACAUUAAUUAACAACUAUAAUUACCAGCGAAGUUUACAUACACGAUGAAUCAAAUCUCAAUUUUUUUAGUAUAUAUGCAACACUCAGAAACGUGUCCUGCCCUCUAAACGUGUCCGACUGCGGUAAAUUGUUUACAUAAUGUUAAUGAACUGCAAGACAAGUCUUCAUGUAAAAGGGUGUCAUGUUGUGUCAUUUGUAUAAACGCCAAAACGUGUUCAUUGUUUUAAUGAACACCCAAACGUGCCCGAUCUCCCAAACAUGUUCUUAUCAAUCUUUAAUUUCUUUUCUUUUGAAUAAACUGUCAUUCAUUUCCAUAUCAUAAAUACGUAUGUUAUUUUGUAAUUGAUUUUACAUAACGUAUACACUCUUUUUCCCAAUUUCAUUAUAAAAUAGAAAUAAAUUACUAUUGUUUUUUUUCUUAAACCGGCGGUAUAGCCUUGGUAAAACUGGGGUAGUCGUCCGUUCGUCUAUGUUGUAUGUAAAUGUAAGCAGCUAUGUUCAAUUGACUUGUAGAUAUUAAAUCAGACAUCUCGUGGAGGGAGAAUAUUUUAUUCUCUGCGCGUUUCAACCUUAAAUUUGUAUAGCAGUACUCUUUCAUGGUGCCAUCAGUUGUAUUUUGGAGGCAAUAUUUGUUUUAUUCUUUCCACAACGGAGAUUGAAGUAGUUUCUUACUGAAGUCAUAAAAAAGGUCUUUACUCGCUAUGAGAUUUAUUAGAUAUUAGUUAUAUCAAUGUUAUCUAGUUGUUAUCCCGCAUAACCGUACAAAUUUAGGCCCAAUCAUAAAGUCCCGUGAUGAUAAUAGAACCUAUCUAUAGUUUUUUAUUGUUGAAAUGGUGUCGUUCAAAUAAUUCAUGAAAUAUUUGGCACUGGACGUCAAGUCUCUUGUUCGUGUGUCUUAAAUGAUGCUCGACACCUAAAAUUUAGUAAAAAAAAACUGAUAACCAGUCUAUAUCUGGAAGAGCAUUUAAAAUACCAGAACUGUGGAAAAAAUGAAGUGAAACUGCUAAAAGCACGCCGUACAAUAUUCGGGUUAAUCGAAAAGGCAUCAUCGGAGUUUAUUGGAACAUAAAAUUAACAGAGUAAACGAUUAUUUCAACUGUACUAGAAUAUUUUCUAUGCUCUAAAUGAGCAUUUUCAAAAAUACUAUCAACUGGGCAGUGAGCUUUGCAGACAAAACUUAAUUCAUAUGUUACAUAUCAAAUUUGCAAUAAUGAUAAUAACAAAUGAUCGGCAUUGGACAAACUGAUAAUCAUAAAUGACUAUUUUAUCAACUGCUUCCACCAUCAAAGAAUUGCCGUUAAAGUUACAUGUAUUUAUGUCACUAAAACAUACAUGUAUUAGCGUUAAAAACGUUUAACAGAGGACAAGUUUUGGCAAUAAAACAUUAUCGGACAUGUUAGGAGGUUAUGCAAUCGGACACGCUUGGGAAAUAAUAAAUAAUACGGACACGUUUAGGGAGAAUAGACACGUUUGGUGAUAAGGACACGUUUGGGGUGAUGAAAACGUUUAAAAGUUUUACAUAUCUAUUUGAAAAGAUAUGAAUAAGUGUCUUAAACGUUUGUUUUUGUGCAUAUUGCAAUUUACACGACUUUAUUAGUAACUGGUGUUUCCUACGUACAAUGAGCAUGGCAAUCUCUACACUUGUGGCAUCGGAUUUAUAUCCUUCUGGUCGGACAUAGCUACAAAAUUGAACAUCGUGCACAGCGAGCGGAUGCUCAACUUUAAAAAAGGCUUAACUGCCGGUCGGAGGUAGGCCAGGGAUUAUUUAUAUCUACUAGCAUUUAACCCUAGAAAGUAUAAAACAAAAUUAGUAUCCAUACGGAACAGCGGAGCUUGUUUGAUAAUGUUCAUGUCUUGAGACAUGACAUUUUUUUUAAGACGUUUUUUUUCAGUUUAUUAUAAAAUGCAUUAUUCUGCAUGGGUGAUUACAUAUUCAACAUAAACAAUGCCCAAUAGUACUGCAACCGACAUCGAAAAAGACGCUUAGUUAACGAGUUUAAUGUCCGGAAUAACACCGGCUGCAAAUUUUUAAAUGAUAGAAUAAUAUCUAUAUUUUAAUUCCGUCGGGUCGUAAAAAUUUUUGUAAAUUUUUGUAUUUAUCUUUAAUGGUACCCCUCAAUUUACGGUUUUGGGUAGUUACCUUAAAAUCCAAAAAUAUUUUUUGGUAAUUUCCUAGUUUUCGUAAUAUUUUCUAUGCACAUAUAUCAGGAUACCGAAUGAUGAGACAUAAAUAUUAUCCAUUUCCAAGUAAAACUUUAAAUUAAAAUUGGCGUUUUUUAUAUAGAAAUUAACCGUUUUCUUUGAAACGAGAACAUAUGAUCAAAAACAGUAUUUGACAUUUGAGAGACACAACAUUUAUUGCGUACUGCAUGCAAAUUUUUUUGGCAAAUUCCAAACAAUUUUGUCAAAAACUCAAAAAUAAAAACAUCAUUGUACUUUUUUAAUUACGGAAAUUUCAUCCGUCAAUAGCUCCACUUUAUUUUUUCAUCACAUCAAUUGAUAGUUCGAUGUGAUUAUGUAGAUUUUGUAGGAGAAGUUCAUUUUUUUGAGUAUUUGAAUAUAUAUAGUAGUUCUUUCGUUAUUUCUGUAAAUAAGUUUAUUUUUGUAAUAAAAUUUUGACUUUAUAUAAAAGUUACAAAUCUUCGGAUAAGAGGUUUUUCGGAUAAUGGCUAUAGUUACAUUGGGAAUACAUUGUUGUCAAUGUUUACUCAGAGCAUUAAUAUGCAUGCAGUGGUCGGGGGAAAGUACUAUUGAAGUUCGCAGAGAUUUGUGUUGACAAGUAAUGCUAAACAACUUCUCUUAUAUUCUGCUUUCCUGGCGAAUCAUCAGUGUGUUUGAGACUUGCACAGAAGCAAAAUUGUGCGUCUUAAAUUAAUUGAUUGAUUAUUGUCGUUGCUUAAAGUCCAGUGAAAUUCAUAGCAUGUCAGGACGAGAACAAGCUAACAAUAAAAACAAUAGUAGUUUGUCAUAAGAGGCCAUCGGGAUGAUGAUCGGGAAAAUUAGACUGCCUGGAAAAUAUGGGAUAUUGGAUUGGACAGAAAUUUCCAUUGCAACUUGCCACCUACGGGACCCUUAAAGAGAUGAGCAAAGGUUUUUAACGUGCAAAGAACGUUACACUCCCUUUACACGGCAGCGGAUUUUAACGUCCCCAUUCUGAUCGGACGUGACUGCGAACUUGAUACAUCCCAACAGCCAAACGGACGCCCAACUUCGUUUUACUGCCGGUCGGGAAGACAAGUGACCAUAUUUCGUUUCCCCAGUCACCCUUGGGGAACUUUAAAUUUAGAACAACAGAAAUCCAUAUAUGUGAUCAAACUGAUCGACAUGUAACCUCACAACCUGACACUUUAUACGAUCUCGCGCUCAGUUUCUUCUUGUAGUUGGAUAUGAAACAGGGUUUUGUGUAAAAGAAAACCUUUAAAAAAAACAGAAAACUACGCAAAACUGAGUCCUCUAAACGUGUUAACAGUCUUUUAAGUUGUGCUUAUAAUGUGAGUAAUCAUUUAUACAUGGCAUAACAAGUACUUAUUGAAGUCAACACCUGUGCAAUUAAGUAAAACAGUCACUGAAAAAUAGAAUUUGAACUUUCUGUCAGUUCAUUGAUAACGAUUGUUAGUGAUGUGAUUUUUUUUCCAUAAAAAAGCCUUUCUCAUGUAGCACAUCCUCUAUAUAUACCGAUCAAUUUUACCCAAGAUUGUCUCUGAUGCUUACCAAACUGCCAAACUCCAGAACUAACUAGAUAUUGUGACACUUUACAAUUCAGACACAGUGGUGCCAAGGGAUAUGAAUUAUAGAGUUUAGCACUGAACUCAAUUUAGGGGAUGCCAUAUCUGCUGCAGGAAAAUUGAAGUCUAUAUUAAGAUUUUCAGAAUUACACCAAGGUGUGUCUGAAAAUAUCAAGGAUACAUUUAAAGAAGAACAAUUACUUCAUCCUGCCACCAGUGGUCUUAUGAGCUAUGUCCUCGUUUUGGUAUUUCUAUGGAAAUGAUGCCCGCAUAGCUUGUUAAUAGAUAUAGAAGAUGUGGUAUGAGUGCAAUGAUACAACAACCAUCCAAGUCACAAUUUAUAAAAGUAAAGCCAUUAAAGGUCACGUCCGGUCUUCAACACAGAGCCUAGGCUCAAAGUUCAUUGAUAGUUAAUCGAUGAAAAAUAACACAAAGGCACUUCUGAACCGUAUAUUGUCCCUAAAGAUAACAAAAAUUCGUAAAUGUAUGGCUAUUACAAAAUCAAUCGUUUCUGUAGCAACAUUCGCCCCUUUACAUUUGGACUGCAGUGCAGAUACAUCAUGCAUAUGCAUAUGGAAUAUGGGUCACGAACAUUGAUCGAAACUUUGUACUCACAUUUCUUUUGUGUUUCCAUGCAAAGGGAGACUAUUCUGACGAGUUGACCAAAUCAUGCGGUAUUUACGCUCCAGAUAGCAUUUGUACUAAAAAAACUGUGUUUGCUUUGAACAAAACUCUGUCCUGCGCGAACUUGGUUCUUAUAAAAAAGGAAGUGUCUUGUAAUGCUAAUACUCGUACUGAAUCCGCAUAUAAAGACUAAGAGAUUGAUUCAUGUCCCUAUUUUAUGAAAACUUGAGCUAUUGUGUGUCGUUUAAAGUUAAUAAGAUCAUGAAUGAAUUUGAAUUACAACAUUAGAAAUUGGCAUUGCAUUGUAUAAUUUUUCAACCUUCCUUAAAAAAUCAAUGAGUUAACUUUUUACCAGGAUUAUCCUACUAAAAAAAAUGUUCAUGCACAAACUGACUUUGUUUUACACUCAUUUUUUUAAACCUCGCAUUGCUCGGUGACUAUUAGUAUUUUUGUGUUAUUACUGCUCUGUCCAGACUUUGCAAUACACAAUAUGUAUUAUCUAUAACUAGAUACUAAUUUUCACAAAAUACACAACCUUUAAGAUGCAAAAUUAAAAACACUGUUUCAGCGCUUGAAUUUUGUUUUUUUCAAAGAUAGAAAAAAAAUUCAAAUUAUUUGAUAAACUGGUGUUUUAUACUUUAGAAAAUAUUUCUGUAAUAUACUAUAGUGAAAUACUAUACAUAUUAUGAAAGUUUAUGGAUGUGAAAAGGUCAAGGCCACUUCUUCUUUUGCUAUGUCUUAAAUGGAAAAAAAUCAGAAGGUUCCAAAUCAACGCCAUUUUGUAAUUGCAGCUCUUCAUAUAAUUAGUCAAAUUUGUCGUUUUACAUCGUUUAUAGCACUAUGCUUAUGAUUGAAUCGUUUUUGUAGCAUUCUAUUGAAUAAAUAUCAGAAUAUUUCUCCUUUUUGUUCUUGUGUUUGAAAUAUUGAUAUUUUUAGGUCUGACCUUUGACCUCAAUUUCAACAAAUUGUGACACUCUGGAUUUUUACGACCCAAUUUUCUUAUUGUACACGUUGUCCUCUUUCCAUCGAUAUAAUAUUUAGGUGUGUGUUCUUCCGGACCAUUAAAGUUUUAAAAAAUGAACUCUGGUUGCAGUACUACAAGUAUUGAAACAUAUAGUAAAUAUCUUACAACAUUAAGUUAAACUGUCAAAGUAUCUGCCAUGGGCUGUCUAUAUUAACUGUGUUUGUUUAUAUGAUAAUAGCUUUGAAAAACAGGUUAAAUUGUUUUUGAAUGAUUUCAAAAUUUAAAGUCAUCAAUUAUGUUAAACAAACAGAUUUACAACUCACACAGUGACUGGAUACAAAAAUAAUAGCAUAGUAACCACACCACAUACUCAUGUGGAUAACUUUGAAAUUGUCAUUGUGCAAAAAACAAAAUGUCAAUAGUGAUUUGAUCAUUAGUCCACUUUUAAACAGGAUCUCCAUGUAUUGAUGAAGUCCUGUUGCUUAUUCUUUAGUUUUCUAUAAUAUGAUUUGUGUAAUAUUGUGUGUCUGUUUGUAUUUUUCCGUUUUUCAGCCAUGGCGUUGGCAGUUUAUUUUCGAUCUAUGAGCUUGACUGUUCCUCUGGUUUACUUAUUCAAUCAAUUAUUCAAAAAAGGCGAGAAACAUAUUUUGUUGAAACAUAUGUCAAUAGAUACUUCGAAUUUGCAAAGUAUGAACACCUUCCUUAAUUUUCAAUUUAGGCUUCCAUAUCACCUUAAGUCGUUCAUGAAAGUUUUUCUAAAAAUGGGAAAACAAAUUCCAAAAUACUAAGCCUUACAAAAUUAUUGUAUGUGUAUAGGUUGCAGUUUUGUCACAAUUAAACAUUGCAAUUUUUAACUAGAAUUACCUUAACGGCUAAAACUCUGCAACUUAACUAUGAAGUUGCGUAGAAACAAAUAUAUAUCCUGUAAUGGAAGCACUAUUGUUGAAUCAAAAGGUAAAAACAUGGGACUGUGUGGAAUAUUUUGAUUAUUUAAAUACCUCGACCUUCUACACCUUAAACUUGUACUUAAUUCUGUAAUACCUCUUCCUUCACUUUAGGUCUUCAACAGAAUUCAAUAUCGCUGCUAUUCAUGUGUAUCUACACCAUGAACAUUCCCAAGUGAUGAGAUGAAACAUAAAGAUCAUACCUUGGAACCAGUACGUAAAUAGUUAUCAAAGGUA